GAUGAACGCUGGCGGCGUGCCUAAUACAUGCAAGUCGAGCGAACAGACGAGGAGCUUGCUCCUUUGACGUUAGCGGCGGACGGGUGAGUAACACGUGGAUAACCUACCUAUAAGACUGGGAUAAUCUCGGGAAACCGGAGCUAAUACCGGAUAAGAUAUUGAACCGCAUGGUUCAAUAGUGAAAGACGGUUGUGCUGUCACUUAUAGAUGGUUCCGCGCCGCAUUAGCUAGUUGGUAAGGUAACGGCCUACCAAGGCAAGGAGGCGUAGCCGAGCUGAGAGGGUGAUCGGCCACACUGGAACUGAGACACGGACAAGACUACUACGGGAGGCAGCAGUAGGGAAUCUUCCGCAAUGGGCGAAAGCCUGACGGAGCAACGCCGCGUGAGUGAUGAAGGUCUUCGGAGCGUAAAACUCGGUUAUUAGGGAAGAACAGAUGUGUAAGUAACUAUGCACGUCGUGACGGUACCUAAUCAGAAAGCCACGGCUAACUACGUG
rnacentral:rRNA from 1 species